rnacentral:lncRNA from 1 species
CCCCUUAGGAAAAAACGCCCCUGUCUCCAAUGGGCCGAUGGGGAGGGUUUUUGCUUUGAGACUGGCCUGGUUUAUAGAGGUGAGGGUGGCAGGCUCCAGAGAGGAGGGAGAGAAAAAGCAUUUCAAGAACAGGAAGACUGGGCGCUUUGUGGGGCGAAGUGAGCGGGUCGGCAGAGCCCAGCGGGGCUGAGCACCGGCAGCAGCUGCUUUCAGAAACGAGCUGCAGCUCUGGGACAACGUUGUUGUUUUGGGCCAUCCACCAUCAAGCAAUGUUCCUGCCACCCUCAUGUGUGGGGAAAACUUCUCCAACCGGCCUGAAACUUCUCUGACGGGUGUGACUGCAAAGGGAGCACAUGGGACCUCGAACAGCAAGCCCUUGGCAGCUGCGAAGCAGGUCUGCCGGGCUGGAUAAAGCUCCUCCUGAUUUGGCCAAGGGGUGGCAUAAUGUGCUAAGUUACCAUAAGGAUCCAGCCCUUCACUGCCUCUUUGACAAUGAUGGCCAGCAGUGGGAGGAACGGAGCUUGGAGUUUCAGCCUGCUGCUCUGAAGAAGGCGUCACAACAAACGGAGGAGGAAUAACUGGGUUACUCGGAAAUAAAUGGUCUACGGGAAAUGGAGCA